rnacentral:rRNA from 1 species
CCUACGGGAGGCAGCAGUGGGGAAUAUUGGACAAUGGGCGAAAGCCUGAUCCAGCAAUGCCGCGUGAGUGAUGAAGGCCUUAGGGUUGUAAAGCUCUUUUACCAGGGAUGAUAAUGACAGUACCUGGAGAAUAAGCUCCGGCUAACUCCGUGCCAGCAGCCGCGGUAAUACGGAGGGAGCUAGCGUUAUUCGGAAUUACUGGGCGUAAAGCGUACGUAGGCGGUUAUUCAAGUCAGAGGUGAAAGCCCGGGGCUCAACCCCGGAACUGCCUUUGAAACUAGAUAACUAGAGUCUUGGAGAGGUUAGUGGAAUUCCGAGUGUAGAGGUGAAAUUCGUAGAUAUUCGGAAGAACACCAGUGGCGAAGGCGACUAACUGGACAAGUACUGACGCUGAGGUACGAAAGCGUGGGGAGCAAACAGGAUUAGAUACCCUGGUAGUCCACGCCGUAAACGAUGAUAACUAGCUGUCCGGGCACUUGGUGCCUGGGUGGCGCAGCUACGCAUUAAGUUAUCCGUCCGUGGGAGGUACGGUCGCGAAGAAUUAAAACGUUAAAAGGUAAAGUUAGACGGCGUGAGAACGUGCCGAAGGACGACGACGAGGGGAGGUUAGG